rnacentral:rRNA from 1 species
UACCAGCACCCCGAGUGGUCGGGACGAUUAUUGGGCCUAAAGCAUCCGUAGCUUGUCCUGCAAGUCUUCCGUUAAAUCCACCUGCUCAACAGAUGGGCCGCGGGGGAUACUACAGGGCUAGGAGGCGGGAGAGGCAAACGGUACUCAGUGGGUAGGGGUAAAAUCCGUUGAUCCAUUGAAGACCACCAGUGGCGAAGGCGGCUUGCCAGAACGCGCUCGACGGUGAGGGAUGAAAGCUGGGGGAGCAAACCGG